rnacentral:lncRNA from 1 species
CUCUUUUGUUUUUGUUUUUGUUUUUGUUGUUCCUUUCCUUCACUGAGCCGAGGGUCGAUUGGAAACAACCUAUCUGCCAUUUCGGGUAGGGGUAUGGCUCGUCUACAUAUUACCCUCCCCAGACCCCACUUUGUGGGACUAUACUGGGUAGUUGUUGUUGUUGUUAUUUAUAACGUAUUUGGUUAAAUUAUCUUUGUCUCCUCCUUAAAUGAGUAAUUAAUGAUCAUAUGUUCUUGGAUUAGUAAAAGUGGAAUUGAAAAAAAAAAAAGUAAUGUCUUCUUGACAUUCCAAUAGGAAAUAUCUUUUUUUGUUACUGUUUAUGCGGAAGUGAAAUAAAAAGAAUACGAGAGUGAUAUUCAAAUAAAGUGUCUCAUAUACUUUCUUUGUAGAGUAUAUGAAAUUUUAAAAAAGAAGAGUAGCAACAGAUGAGGGGCGUGUAUUGGAAAAAUAUUGAGUUUUUAUUAAAGGUGACGUGGCAUGACACAUGGAUUAGUCAAACAGUCAAAGAACAAUAAAUGAUUAAAAAGCACGGAGGACAACAUGCACGGUAGAAGAAAAGGAAACAUGCACGAGAAUGAACCUUAGAUACGAUUACCGUGUCUAUCCAAGGCAUUCAAUAUUAACGGAUAAAAAGGGAAUUGAAGACAUGAAUCUGAAGACAAAAAGUAGUCUACAUUCAUUAUUAAAUACUUGAUACGUUNNNNNNNNNNNNNNNNNNNNNNNNNNNNNNNNNNNNNNNNUAUUAAAUACUUGAUACGUUAGUUAUUCAGUAUUUAAUAGCAAUAAUUAUGUAACGUCUCAUUAAAUGCUCUUUAUUAUUUAGAACAAUCCGUUACUCUUUGUCAACCAUAAAAGGAGGAAGUUUUAUCAUCUGUAGGGACACAGAUAACAUUCUUGAGAUCAUAGUAAAAUACAAUUUUUCAUUUGCUUUAUUCUUAUUCUUUGAAAGCCAAUUAUAUUUCGGUCUCUUUGAUUAUCAGUAACCCGAUUUCUUCUCUAAAAUUCAAGCUUUGACCAAAAAUAUAUUUUUUGGUUAAACAAAUUGGUUCUGUUACCGAGAAUCCGAUAAAUCUUAUUGUUAAUAUGUUGAACAACAACGACAACAACAACCAGACAAAUCUGAUCCAACAAUUGAUGAUAAGGAACUCAAUAAUGCUAACUUUCAAGCUUCUCCACGUGGAUCUCGUGAAGGAACUCCAAACGAUAUGUCUGAACAUGAUGAUGGAGGAGCCGAAACAAGAGAUGAACUGUUAAUGCUAACUUUCAAGCUUCUCCACGUGGAUCUCGUGAAGGAACUCCAAACGAUAUGUAUGAACAUGACGAUGGAGGAGCCGAAAAAAAGAUGAACUGGUAAAGAAAAUAAUCGACUCACGAAUUAACAAAGCCUUGCGAACUAGUUGAUCAAUUUACUGUUGCACCAACAACACCAAAUAACAAUACGUUGGAAACCCCUCGCUGUGGUCUAGUUGAUUCUGGCAAUGGAACAGUUCCUACUGACUCACAAGAUGGAGAACCAGGUAAUACAAGUAAAUUCUCAUCUUCAAAAUUUGGUACUAACCUUGCAGAAACAACUCAAGAAGCAGAACGAGCGUAUUGAGCAAAUCCCUGGAGUUCCACCUGUGAUAAAAGGAGUAGACGUGGAUAAAUACUCGCAACAACCGUGGAAACCAAGUGCUUAAAGGCAGGGACAUGACUAUUGUAUCCUGGAGUUCCACCUGUGAUAAAAAGAGUAUACGUGGAUAAAUACUCGCAACAACCAUGGAAACCAAGUGCUGCUCCUUUGUGAUUCCAAAGAAAUUUAAAAUGCCUGAUAUCCCAAAAUAUGAUGGUACAACGGACCCUCGUCAUCACGUAACUGCAUUUACAACGGGAGUGAAAGGCAAAGAUUUGACCAAACGAGAAAUAGAAUCAGUGUUGGUCAAAAAGUUUGGAGAAACACUCACCAAGGGAGCAUUAACCUGGUACUCUCUCUUAUCUGAAAAUUUUAUAAAUUCUUUUGCUGAGCUUGCAGAUUCUUUCAUAAAAGCACAUUCGGGAGCUCAAAAGGUGGAAAAGAGAAUGGAGGAUAUUUCUUUUGCUGAGCUUGCAGAUUCUUUCAUAAAAGCACAUUCAGGAGCUCGAAAGGUGAAAAAGUGAAUGGAUGAUAUUUUCAAAAUAAAACAAGGGAACACUGAAUUACUCAGAGAUUUCGUUGAUAGAUUCCAACGUGAAAGAAUGAUGCUGCCCCGUGUACCAGAUAAUUGGGAUGCAAUAGCUUUUNNNNNNNNNNNNNNNNNAGACACUCACCAAGGGAGCAUUAACCUGGUACUCUCUCUUACCUGAAAAUUCUAUAAAUUCUUUUGCUGAGCUUGCAGAUUCUUUCAUAAAAGCACAUUCAGGAGCUCGAAAGGUGAAAAAGUGAAUGGAUGAUAUUUUCAAAAUAAAACAAGGGAACACUGAAUUACUCAGAGAUUUCGUUGAUAGAUUCCAACGUGAAAGAAUGAUGUUGCCUUGUGUACCAGAUAAUUGGGCUGCAAUAGCUAUUUCUAGCAAUUUGAAUGAAAAAAGUUCAGAAGCCACGAGAAGACUUAAAGAAAUCCUUCGUGAAUUUCCCGCAACUACUUGGAAUGAUGUUUAUAACAGGUACA